ACUAAAUCUUCCACCAUCAUCAAGUCUUUCUCAUCUCACACUUCUUGUGAAGUUUCUCAUAAUGAGGCAUUUAAUCUCAUUGUGCAUGUCUCUACUGCUGCUUAAUAAUGGUGAAAUAAUCAAUGGGCAAAAACAAGG